AUGGAUACUGACUUCGAUCUAAUUAACAUUCUGGUUCACUUGGGCAACAAAAAAGAACACUCAACACGUGGUUUUUGGUUCAAAAGAGAAUGUUGCAGUUUGAGAUUUGUCAUGCUAUGUGGUCUCCACAUGCACCAGAGAGCUCAGCAGCAUUCAAAAUUAUGCAGUUUUAACUGGAGCAUCUUGAAAGUAUUGAUCUUCCACCCUCUCUCUCUCUCUCUCACACACACACACACACACAUCACACAAAUAGGAAAUAUACCUCUCUCUCUAUUGUUUUUUAUGCAUCAAAUUCUUGCCAAAACUGAACAAGGAAACACAACCACCACCAACUGAAUUAGAUUUAUAUUCCAUUUGGUGA
rnacentral:lncRNA from 1 species